rnacentral:rRNA from 1 species
GGCCUAACUGUCUCCUAUAGCCCACCAAUAAACCUGAUCUCUCCGUACAAAAGCUGAGAUAAACACAUUAGACAAGAAGACCCUGUGGAGCUUAAAGCCAAAGUGUUAACAACAUCACCAUUAACACUCACUUUUAGUUGGGGCGACUACGGAGUAAAACAAAACCUCCACGACACAGGCUUGAGACCAACACGUCAAAACCAAAAACUUUACUUGGACCCAGUACAACUGAUCACCGAACCAAGUUACCCCAGGGAUAACAGCGCCAUCCUCCCCAAGAGUCCAUAUCGCCAGGAGGGCUUACGACCUCGAUGUUGGAUCAGGACACCCAGGUGGUGCAGCCGCUACCAAAGGUUCGUUUGUUCAACGACUAAUGUCCU